UGUGUAGGCGGAGCUGUAAGUCAGAGGUGAAAUCCUGCGGCUUAACCGUAGAACUGCCUUUGAUACUGCAGCCCUUGAAUAUCGGAGAGGUCACUAGAAUUCGUGGUGUAGCGGUGAAAUGCGUAAAUAUCACGAGAAUACCAGAGGCGUAGGCGGGUGACUGGACGAUUAUUGACGCUGAGGCACGAAAGCGUGGGGAGCAAACA
rnacentral:rRNA from 1 species